rnacentral:other from 2 species
UCGAUCCUGCCGUGCCCGUGAUCGCUGAACUGGGUUUUGAGCCAACACUUAAUAAAACGGGGACUGUCUCUUCAGUGGGAAUGCGAUAGCCCUCGGGCAAGGCAAACCCUCUGAGCAGGUCCCCACCUGCGUUAGCAGGUUCAAAACAAGGCAGCACACGGCACGGCGGGGAGAG